GAUGAAGAACGCAGCGAAAUGCGAUAAGUAAUGUGAAUUGCAGAAUUCAGUGAAUCAUCGAAUCUUUGAACGCACAUUGCGCCCGCCAGUAUUCUGGCGGGCAUGCCUGUUCGAGCGUCAUUUCAACCAUCAAGCCCCCGGCUUGUGUUGGGGACCUGCGGCUGCCGCAGGCCCUGAAAACCAGUGGCGGGCUCGCUGUCACAGCGAGCGUAGUAGAUUUUCAUCUCGCUCAGGGCGUGCUGCGGGUUCCGGCCGUAAAAAGCCUUAUUUACCCAAGGUUGACCUCGGAUCAGGUAGGAAGACCCGCUGAACUUAAGCAUAUCAAUAAGCGGAGGA
rnacentral:misc_RNA from 1 species